GACGAACGCUGGCGGCGUGCCUAAUACAUGCAAGUAGAACGCUGAAGAGAGGAGCUUGCUCUUCUUGGAUGAGUUGCGAACGGGUGAGUAACGCGUAGGUAACCUGCCUUGUAGCGGGGGAUAACUAUUGGAAACGAUAGCUAAUACCGCAUAACAAUGGAUGACACAUGUCAUUUAUUUGAAAGGGGCAAUUGUUCCACUACAAGAUGGACCUGCGUUGUAUUAGCUAGUAGGUGAGGUAAUGGCUCACCUAGGCGACGAUACAUAGCCGACCUGAGAGGGUGAUCGGCCACACUGGGACUGAGCCACGGCCCAGACUCCUACGGGAGGCAGCAGUAGGGAAUCUUCGGCAAUGGGGGCAACCCUGACCGAGCAACGCCGCGUGAGUGCAGAAGGUUUUCGGAUCGUAAAGCUCUGUUGUAAGUCAAGAACGGGUGUGAGAGUGGAAAGUUCACACUGUGACGGUAGCUGACCAGAAAGGGACGGCUAACUACGUG
rnacentral:rRNA from 1 species